rnacentral:lncRNA from 10 species
UGAGUCUCUUCCAGCACAUUUUUAGCCAUUGGAUCUGUAGGAAAACCAGUGAAGAGCAGGAAUUGAAUGGAAAGAUUGUUAGGUGGACUCAAGUCAUACCUGCUGUGCACUGUGGGCCAUAAGCAUGCAAUAAGGAGGAAAAAGGCAUAUUGAUAAAAGCUGGUCAUGGUGACAGGAAACAUGUGUGCCAUCAGUGAACAAGACAUCAAUGAGUAUGACUCACUCCUCCCCCACCUGAGCCUCAGCCUGUGAUGGUAGUGAAUAUGUAUAUGUAUACAUGCAAGAAUGAAGGACAGAGUUCAUUAAGAGUAUUAAAGUGUGUAAAAGAGUGGAUUAAAAAGUUGUGAGUGUUAAGAAGGUGUUAUUUCAAGAAAGAGAAAUCCCACUGGAAGAGAAUUUGAGUCUGUGAGGUAUGCAUGUGUAUGUGAGAGGUAAGUGAGGAAAAGGUGGA